rnacentral:misc_RNA from 1 species
CAAAUUGAUUCACAAAUCUCGUAUACAAGUAAAUAAGAAAGGAAAGGAGGCUGCAGCUUGCAAUGAUCUCCUUUCCAAAGUAACUUCUGGACCCGAUGUUCAUCUCGGCCCCCCUCCAAGUUUUGUUGCAGAUCAUCCUUUCAUAUUCAUGAUCAAGGAAGAAGGAUCUGGAGUUGUAUUUUUCGUUGGAGCGGUACUGAAUCCUCUUUUAGAGGCUUGAU